UGUAGCUCAGUGGUAGAGUUCUUGUCUGGAAUGCAUGAGGACCUGGGUUUGAUCCCCAGCA
rnacentral:tRNA from 1 species